rnacentral:sRNA from 1 species
UUGGUCUUCCUGUUAUUUAACAUGACUUAAUAUUCUACAGGAGUGGGGAUAGCUUUGCGAAAAAUGGGUGCAAUGGCCAAGCCAGAUUGUAUCAUCACUUGUGAUGGCAAAAACCUCACCAUAAAAACUGAGAGCACUUUGAAAACAACACAGUUUUCUUGUACCCUGGGAGAGAAGUUUGAAGAAACCACAGCUGAUGGCAGAAAAACUCAGACUGUCUGCAACUUUACAGAUGGUGCAUUGGUUCAGCAUCAGGAGUGGGAUGGGAAGGAAAGCACAAUAACAAGAAAAUUGAAAGAUGGGAAAUUAGUGGUGGUGAGUGUCAAACUGCUGUGUCUCAGUCAGCUUCUUGUGUGCAUUUAUAGUUCACAUAACUGUUCUAUAUCAUUGAUCAUUAACAGAACUCAGUUUGGAAGAAAAAAAAGCAAAAUAACAAAUUAAAUACUAGAACACUAAUUAUUAAGAAAGUCCUAGAGGAGAUAGAGAAGUGACAUGACAUAGGAAAGGAUUUGGCUGUAGUUGGGGGGAGUUCUUGCUUUGCUGCCACAUCACAGUGAAAUCUUGGCAAGCCACCAAACUGCACACAUUUUUCUAUAUCUUUAAAAUAAGGAAUAUUUGCCAUAACCAAAAGAAUAAAGAUAUAUUCAACACAGUUUUCUGUAAAACAUGCAUAUUAUAAGCAAAACAACAGCUUCUGGCUUCUCUCAAACCCAUGAAUUCUGAAAGAAAUUUUCUCCAUCUAUGAAGUAGGUU